rnacentral:rRNA from 1 species
AUUUUAUGGAGAGUUUGAUCCUGGCUCAGGAUGAACGCUGGCGGCGUGCCUAAUACAUGCAAGUCGAGCGAACGGACGAGAAGCUUGCUUCUCUGAUGUUAGCGGCGGACGGGUGAGUAACACGUGGAUAACCUACCUAUAAGACUGGGAUAACUUCGGGAAACCGGAGCUAAUACCGGAUAAUAUUUUGAACCGCAUGGUUCAAAAGUGAAAGACGGUCUUGCUGUCACUUAUAGAUGGAUCCGCGCUGCAUUAGCUAGUUGGUAAGGUAACGGCUUACCAAGGCAACGAUGCAUAGCCGACCUGAGAGGGUGAUCGGCCACACUGGAACUGAGACACGGUCCAGACUCCUACGGGAGGCAGCAGUAGGGAAUCUUCCGCAAUGGGCGAAAGCCUGACGGAGCAACGCCGCGUGAGUGAUGAAGGUCUUCGGAUCGUAAAACUCUGUUAUUAGGGAAGAACAUAUGUGUAAGUAACUGUGCACAUCUUGACGGUACCUAAUCAGAAAGCCACGGCUAACUACGUGCCAGCAGCCGCGG